rnacentral:ncRNA from 1 species
UCGGAAUAGCGCCUGGGCAUUUAUAUGCUGACGAGGAGGACAGUUAUCGACAAUCGGCGGAUGCUGUCCCGGAUACUAAAGUAUUCGUUAUAUUAUCUGUAAAACUAAAGAGUAAUCUUUAGGACAAAAGGAUAAUCAAU